UACGUAGGGGGCGAGCGUUGUCCGGAUUUAUUGGGCGUAAAGAGCUCGUAGGCGGCUCGUCGCGUCGUCCGUGAAAACCCGCGGCUUAACCGCGGGCUUGCGGUUGAUACGGGCGGGCUAGAGUUCGGUAGGGGAGACUGGAAUUCCUGGUGUAGCGGUGAAAUGCGCAGAUAUCAGGAGGAACACCGGUGGCGAAGGCGGGUCUCUGGGCCGAUACUGACGCUGAGGAGCGAAAGCGUGGGGAGCGAACAGG
rnacentral:rRNA from 1 species